CGCUGGCGGCGUGCCUAACACAUGCAAGUCGAACGAGGUCCAUGCAGUGGCAACACUGCGGAAGACCUAGUGGCGAAACGGGUGAGUAACACGUGAGGAACCUGCCCCGAAGACCGGGAUAACCCUCCGAAAGGAGAGCUAAUACCGGAUACCCCACCGGAUCGCAUGAUCUGGUGAGGAAUGGAUUCCGCUUCGGGAGGGCCUCGCGGCCUAUCAGCUAGUUGGUGGGUAACGGCCCACCAAGGCAUCGACGGGUAGCUGGUCUGAGAGGACGAUCAGCCACACUGGGACUGAGACACGGCCCAGACUCCUACGGGAGGCAGCAGUGGGGAAUCUUGGGCAAUGGGCGAAAGCCUGACGCAGCAACGCCGCGUGGGGAUGAAGGCUCUCGGGUUGUAAACCCCUUUCAGCAGGGACGAAUCAAGACGGUACCUGCAGAAGAAGCCCCGGCUAACUACGUG
rnacentral:rRNA from 1 species